UACGAGGGGGGGCAAGCGUUUGUUCGGAAUUAUUGGGCGUAAAGGGUGCGUAGGCGGCCUGUUACGUCUGCUGUGAAAUCCCGGGGCUUAACCCCGGGCGUGCAGUGGAUACGGGCAGGCUGGAGGCAGGCAGGGGAGAACGGAAUUCCCGGUGUAGCGGUGAAAUGCGCAGAUAUCGGGAGGAACACCGGUGGCGAAGGCGGUUCUCUGGGCCUGUACUGACGCUGAGGAGCGAAAGCGUGGGAAGCAAACAGG
rnacentral:rRNA from 1 species